rnacentral:rRNA from 1 species
AACGAACGCUGGCGGCAUGCCUAACACAUGCAAGUCGAACGAGACCUUCGGGUCUAGUGGCGCACGGGUGCGUAACGCGUGGGAACCUGCCCUUAGGUUCGGAAUAACUCCCCGAAAGGGGUGCUAAUACCGGAUAAUGUCUUCGGACCAAAGAUUUAUCGCCUUUGGAUGGGCCCGCGUUGGAUUAGCUAGUUGGUAGGGUAAAAGCCUACCAAGGCGACGAUCCAUAGCUGGUCUGAGAGGAUGAUCAGCCACACUGGGACUGAGACACGGCCCAGACUCCUACGCGAGGCAGCAGUGGGUAAUAUUGGACAAUGGGCGAAAGCCUGAUCCAGCAAUGCCGCGUGAGUGAUGAAGGCCUUAGGGUUGUAAAGCUCUUUUACCCGGGAUGAUAAUGACAGUACCGGGAGAAUAAGCACCGGCUAACUCCGUG